rnacentral:rRNA from 1 species
GGAAGGGUGGGGAUGACGUACAAAUCAUCAUCGCCCCUUAUCGACCGUGGGCUACACACGUGCUAACAAGUGGGCGGUAACGAAAGGGUCGCGAACCCGCGAGGGGGAGCCAAUCCCAAAAAGCCGCUCUCAGUUCGGAUUGCAGGCUGCAACUCGCCUGCAUGAAGCCGGAAUCGCUAGUAAUCGCGGAUCAGCACGCCGCGGUGAAUACGUUCCCGGGCCUU